UUAAGACGGGCGCGCCACAUGGGAGUUUUCAAAGCUUAGGCUCCAAACUCCACGUAGUAACAGCAGCUGAAAGGGGGAGAGGGGAAAAGGGGAGGGGAAGAGACUGGAAUAUUAAUUUAAGCCCUGAUAUUAAAGUAUAGGACCCGGCCAGCGGCUAAAUAUGAUGAAGGCAAAAAGACGCUGCUUUGGCAUUCUCUUUGCAGCACAGAGUUUACAUGAAGUAGAAGAAAUCCUUGCAGUGGUGCAAACUGACAUGGCAAGUGGCGGAAACCAGGUCUAACCACCAGCUGAUUGCAGUAGCCGGUCACAACUGCCCAGAGUGUAAUUCCCACCGAUAAGCGCGGAUCCUUAUCUUUGAAACACAAAGCGACAGCAGCACGGAUUCAUCGAGCCAUUGGACAACUUCGCAGUGCAGCAGCCUAGGCUGUCCGGCCGAGAACCGCAGUCCUAUCAGGGUUUGCUGUAGCUCAGAAAGCUUUGCCUAUAUGACUACUGCAUACCCUACUGGGAGAAUUGGAAGAAUGUGAUGAUGUUGGGAGUCACCCACCAUAGAAGCAUGAGUCAAUGACAUCCCAGAGAUCUGCAAAGGAUCCUGGUAGCCACUUCAAAGACUUUUUCUCCCUUCCUCAGACAAUCAUGGCAAAUGGACAUCAGAGGAAGAAAUGGCGAAGUAUGUAUGACUCCUCCAGCAGAGUCCUCGGAAACAAUAAAGCUUCCUUUCGAAAUUCUGA